CCUACGGGGGGCUGCAGUGGGGAAUAUUGGACAAUGGGGGGAACCCUGAUCCAGCCAUGCGCGUGUGUGAAAAAGGCCCUCGGGUUGUAAAGCACUUUCAGUGAGGAAGAACGCCUGGUGGUUAAUACCCAUCAGGAAAGACAUCACUUACAGAAGAAGCACCGGCUAACUCCGUGCCAGCAGCCGCGGUAAUACGGAGGGUGCGAGCGUUAAUCGGAAUUACUGGGCGUAAAGCGCGCGUAGGUGGCUUGAUAAGCCGGUUGUGAAAGCCCCGGGCUCAACCUGGGAACGGCAUCCGGAACUGUCAAGCUAGAGUGCAGGAGAGGAAGGUAGAAUUCCCGGUGUAGCGGUGAAAUGCGUAGAGAUCGGGAGGAAUACCAGUGGCGAAGGCGGCCUUCUGGACUGACACUGACACUGAGGUGCGAAAGCGUGGGUAGCAAACAGGAUUAGAUACCCCAGUAGUC
rnacentral:rRNA from 1 species